rnacentral:lncRNA from 1 species
UUGCAGAGCAGCUGGGGCUGCCCCUGGAUCCCUGGCAGUGCCCAAGGCCAGGCUGGAUGGGGCUGGGAGGACCCUGGGACAGUGGGAGGUGUCCCUGCCAUGGCAGGGCUUGGCAAUGAAUGUUCUUUAAAAAGGUCUUUUCAACCCGAUCUGCUCUGAUUUUUAUGGUCUUACAUAUGUGAUAUCUAUAUAAUAUGUAUAAUGUAAUAAUCUGCUCUCCUGCAGGUGCUGCUGCCUUCAAGAGAGUUACUGGAAGUCUGGGACCCUUGCAGUGCCAGGAAAAGGUGGUGACCAGAGAUGCUGCUGCUGCAGACAGGUUCUUGCUGCACGUGGAUGCUGCUGGGAACACGGUGCUCUGCAGGUGUAAAACACCCACCUCACCUUAAAGGAUGGAAGUUUGGUGAGAGAGAAAGAGCAAGUGGGAUCCCUUGGCUCACUCAGAACGUGGGAUUUCCAAGCCCGAAUUGCUCAGCAGCACAACCAGCAGGGAGCCUGGGAGGUCACUGCAGUCACCACCACCUGUUGGCUCUGCCAGGCUGCCACAAGCCCUUGCUAAAGCUCCUGUGACCCUUCUUCCUAAUCCAUUGUACAGCCUGCCUUGGCUCCUCCUGGUCCUCCCAGAGG